CCUGCAGCCAAGUGCUGGACCCCAGCCCAGUUGUGUCCCAGCACCGGGCAGGCGGGGCCCGGGCGGAGCCUGGAGGUUGUGCAGGCCAGGGAUGGUGUGCAGAGUGGGGCCGAAUGACCCCCUUCCCCCUGUAGCCUGGGGCCGUGCUGUUCGGCGACAGCGUGGGGAGCGGGGCCGGCUGACCCCCCCCCCGCCCCCCCGCAGCCCGGGACAGGGGUGGUUCUGCGGCUCUGGCCCCUGACCUGGGCCCAGACUGGCUGCUGGGGGAGAGGGGGCCCCUGUGGUGUCCGGGCACAUCCUGGCUCCCCUCUGACUGAGGGACCAGUGAAGGGAGCACCCUGAGGCAGAUGGGGAGAGAGUCCCAGCUCCCAGUUGGGGCCUCCAGUUCUCUUUCUUCUCUCUUUCUACAGUUUCAGCUUGGAACCUGUCAUCCUUCCAGAAGGUCUAGGAAUUUGGAAAUUUCCUGACCAUUCCUGCCUUGAGUCUUGGAGAGCCACAUCCUUCUUUGCUAGGGGUUGCUCUCGCUGGUGUGUCUCGGCCAGGCCCCGGUGCUGUUUCUCAAGGACACCAGUGCCCUGCCACUGGCAUGGCGGCCUUGCUCAGUUACAGCCUGCUCGACUCCCCUGGGGCCACACACUCCACGUGGUGCCUUUUCCCACUCAUGUUGCUUCCUACGCUGUACGGACCACAGUGGCCUCUACCCCACAGCUCCCGGCGAGCUCCAGCCCCGUCCUCAGGGUCCUUCUGAAGGUUGGAAUCCGGCCUCUCGAGAGAUCUCCCAAGGGCAGGAUCUUCCCUGUCUGGUGAUCUUGUGGCCCCCCGCCAGACGCCCCAAGCAUCCGCUCCCACAGCCUGGCCCCUGUUCCCCUCACGGCUGCUGGCAGGAUCCUGAGGCUUCUCAGUCAGGGUCUCUUUUCUCCAGGUGCAAACCUGACAGGCUGGGCUCUGCUGGACUCCGGCGCAAAGGCCUCAUGGGGGAGAGAGGGGAAGGUGCUUGAGACAUGAUCUCGGGAGGAAGCGAAACGUCUGCGUCGUCUCCCUUGGGGUGGGUGGGGGCCGUGUCUGCAGGCUCAGAAGGUUUAGAAGAGUCUGGAUGUCAAGCUUUUGGGGCAUCCCCACCCUACGUGUGCAGCCCCAGGCUCCCCAUCCCGGCCCCUGACACUGGCUCAACAGGCCUGCCUUGGCUCAGGCUAACAGCCCUUGGGGUCCGGUUGUCCCGAGUACUAAGGCUUGGGCUCUUUGCACCACCCCUGCAGGGGAUGAGGUCGUCUGUGUGAGUGACCGGGGGUCCCGCCUGGCAUUCCGUGGCCUGCUCCUGGCCCCCAGGUGUUCAUUAUCUUCCUGUCAAACGUGAGGCGUGGGCUUAGCACUAGCCAUCAGUUGAUCCGUCCCCGUGCAAGCUUUGACCGCCGCACGGGUGCCUCGGGCCAGGGGCUGUCCACUCCAGUGCCCACCAGUGCAAGGAUCCUCACUGCUAGCCGGGUGGGCCCGACCCAGACCCCAAGCCCCGUCCUACUGCCCACUCUCCCAGACCCCUCCAGGGAGCUGCCGUGCCAGCUGGGGUCCUCCCGAACCGAUUGUGAGGUGGAGUUUGGGAUACAGGACAGGCUUGGGCUUCAACCCUGGGUGGAUCGGGGAGGGGGAGUCAGCUCCCAGUGGCAGCCUGCCGAGCCUUGGUCGGGCUUUUGUACCUUCACUGGACUCCCUGGGUGUCUGGGAGGGUGGGACUGUGUGUGACCUGGCUCCUUGCGGGUGAGGCUGACCCCGAAGGAGCUGCUGGCUGGGGCUGUGUGCCGACCACACUCCCCGCGGCUGGGCAGCAAGACCUUCCUGGCAGCUUAUCUCCAUGUCCCCUUUGCCCCGGCAUUUCGGGACUGUGCAGCCUCAGGCAGCAGCCUCAGGCAGCAGCCUCCUGCAGCCCUUCCAGUCAGGAGAGACCGUGGGGCCAACAGACAAGCUGCCCAGCAGCCCCCUGGGAAGGCCUGGCCCACUCUUCCUGACCCGGGAGGGUUCAACCAAGGCUGCCUCGGGGGUGAAGGAGGCCAGCAGCUGGAAGAGAGAGACCCCCGUAAGCAAGGAGAGCAGUGCCUCUGCCAACAGAAUCCAGGAUCAGUGGGAUUAAAUGCCCUAAGAGAUUCAAGGCGGUAUUGGAUCUACUAAAUAAGAACAGAUUGCUAUAAAAGAAGACAAACAAGAGAGGCUCUUGGAUAUUAAAAAUACGAUUGCUGACAACAUCUCGGUAAUUAAUCUGGAAGGACAAAGUAAUGGAAAUCUGCCAGAAUACGGAGCAA